rnacentral:rRNA from 1 species
AAGAAGUAGGUAGCUUAACUUUCGGGAGGGCGCUUACCACUUUGUGAUUCAUGACUGGGGUGAAGUCGUAACAAGGUAACCGUAGGGGAACCUGCGGUUGGAUCACCUCCUUACCUUAAAGAAGC